UGGGGAAUAUUGGACAAUGGGCGCAAGCCUGAUCCAGCAAUGCCGCGUGAAUGAUGAAGGCCUUAGGGUUGUAAAAUUCUUUCGAUAGGGAAGAGAAUGACGGUACCUAUAUAAGAAGCUCCGGCUAACUCCGUGCCAGCAGCCGCGGUAAUACGGAGGGAGCUAGCGUUUUUCGGAAUUACUGGGCGUAAAGAGCAUGUAGGCGGCUUAUUAAGUUGAAAGUGAAAGCCCAGGGCUUAACCCUGGAACUGCUUUCAAAACUGAUAAGCUAGAGGAUGAUAGGGGACAGUGGAAUUCCUAGUGUAGAGGUGAAAUUCUUAGAUAUUAGGAGGAACACCGGUGGCGAAGGCGACUGUCUGGAUCAUUACUGACGCUGAGAUGCGAAAGCGUGGGGAGCAAA
rnacentral:rRNA from 1 species